rnacentral:rRNA from 1 species
UACAGAGGGGGCAAGCGUUAUUCGGAAUUAUUGGGCGUAAAGGGCGCGUAGGCGGCUUGGCAAGUGGAAGGUGAAAUCCCUCGGCUUAACCGAGGAACUGCCUUCCAGACUGCUUUGCUUGAGGCCGGGAGAGGCGAGUGGAAUUCCCAGUGUAGCGGUGAAAUGCGUAGAUAUCAGGAAGAACACCAAUGGCGAAAGCAGCUCUCUGGGACGGUACUGACGCUGAGACGCGAAAGCGUGGGGAGCGAACAGG